UUAAAAUUUUCAAUACUUGAAACAGAAAAAUUAUCAUUGUUAUUCUCAGUUUUCUGAAAAACAAAAAUUAUCAUCAGGUUCAUUCUUUCAUGUUGGAUGGAUUCCAAUUUAUCUUCACGCUCAUCUUCAAUAUACAAGGCUUUUUAAAACAUAUGUAUCUAACAGUGAAUCUGCAGUCUCACAAGGGAGAGCUGGUAAAAUACACAUUGAAGCUGACACUUGAUUAUAAAAAAGUUGUAGACAUACAUUACUUCUUCAGGAAAUAAUCCUUCCAUCUUUGUUAAAAAUUUAGCAAUUGCUAUUAGGGGUAGUGGAAAAUUUCAGUGAAAAUGCUACAAGGCUAGAAUUAUGAUAAGAAUAAAGUAUCAAGGAAACAUCUUUCAUCUGAAAAGCUGACUGUUAUAGAGUAAGUGGAGAGAGUAUGUACAUUUCUAAAAAUUCUUUCUUUGAUUAUUAUAAAAAUACAUAGUAGCAAGUGAAUUCAUACUUUUCUAUGUAACAUUUAUCUGAUUAUGUUAUCAUUUUGUAUAUAAGUAGUUGAUUACUUUAAUUACUUCUACUUCAAAAACUGUUGUAAAAUUAUAUACACAUUUACAAUACAUUUUUGUAUUGUAAAUGUACAUUUACAUUUCAUCUGUAAAUGUUUUUUACAGAUGAAAUGAAAAAUAUUACUAAAUUUAUAAAUGAAAAAAUAAAUACAAGAUAAAAAUUACUA